GAUGAACGCUAGCGGCAAGCCUAACACAUGCAAGUCGAACGGUAACUUUUGGUGCUUGCACCGAAAGACGAGUGGCGAACGGGUGCGUAACGCGUAUGCAAUCUGCCUUUUACUAGGGUAUAGCCCAGAGAAAUUUGGAUUAAUCCCCUAUAAUAUCAUUUAAUCGCAUGAUUUUAUGAUUAAAGCUUCGGCGGUAAAAGAUGAGCAUGCGUCCUAUUAGUUAGUAGGUGAGGUAACGGCUCACCUAGACUCCGAUAGGUAGGGGUCCUGAGAGGGAGAUCCCCCACACUGGUACUGAGACACGGACCAGACUCCUACGGGAGGCAGCAGUGAGGAAUAUUGGACAAUGGACGAAAGUCUGAUCCAGCUAUGCCGCGUGCAGGAUGACGGCCCUAUGGGUUGUAAACUGCUUUUAUACAGGAAGAAAAACUCCGACGUGUCGGAACUUGACGGUACUGUAAGAAUAAGGAUCGGCUAACUCCGUGCCAGCAGCCGCGGUAAUACGGAGGAUCCAAGCGUUAUCCGGAAUCAUUGGGUUUAAAGGGUCCGUAAGCGGUUUUUUAAGUCAGAGGUGAAAUCCUGCAGCUCAACUGUAGAAUUGCCUUUGAUACUGAAAGACUUGAGUUAUUGUGAAGUGGUUAGAAUGUGUGGUGUAGCGGUGAAAUGCAUAGAUAUCACACAGAAUACCAAUUGCGAAGGCAGAUCACUAACAAUAUACUGACGCUCAAGGACGAAAGCGUGGGUAGCGAACAGGAUUAGAUACCCUGGUAGUCCACGCCGUAAACGAUGGAUACUAGCUGUAUGUCUACUUCAGGUAGAUGUGUGGCUAAGCGAAAGUGAUAAGUAUUCCACCUGGGGAGUACGAUCGCAAGAUUG
rnacentral:rRNA from 1 species